AAAUUGAAGAGUUUGAUCAUGGCUCAGAUUGAACGCUGGCGGCAGGCCUAACACAUGCAAGUCGAACGGUAACAGGAAGCAGCUUGCUGCUUUGCUGACGAGUGGCGGACGGGUGAGUAAUGUCUGGGAAACUGCCUGAUGGAGGGGGAUAACUACUGGAAACGGUGGCUAAUACCGCAUAACGUCGCAAGACCAAAGAGGGGGACCUUCGGGCCUCUUGCCAUCAGAUGUGCCCAGAUGGGAUUAGCUUGUUGGUGAGGUAACGGCUCACCAAGGCGACGAUCCCUAGCUGGUCUGAGAGGAUGACCAGCCACACUGGAACUGAGACACGGUCCAGACUCCUACGGGAGGCAGCAGUGGGGAAUAUUGCACAAUGGGCGCAAGCCUGAUGCAGCCAUGCCGCGUGUAUGAAGAAGGCCUUCGGGUUGUAAAGUACUUUCAGCGGGGAGGAAGGUGUUGUGGUUAAUAACCACAGCAAUUGACGUUACCCGCAGAAGAAGCACCGGCUAACUCCGUGCCAGCAGCCGCGGUAAUACGGAGGGUGCAAGCGUUAAUCGGAAUUACUGGGCGUAAAGCGCACGCAGGCGGUCUGUCAAGUCGGAUGUGAAAUCCCCGGGCUCAACCUGGGAACUGCAUUCGAAACUGGCAGGCUUGAGUCUUGUAGAGGGGGGUAGAAUUCCAGGUGUAGCGGUGAAAUGCGUAGAGAUCUGGAGGAAUACCGGUGGCGAAGGCGGCCCCCUGGACAAAGACUGACGCUCAGGUGCGAAAGCGUGGGGAGCAAACAGGAUUAGAUACCCUGGUAGUCCACGCCGUAAACGAUGUCUACUUGGAGGUUGUGCCCUUGAGGCGUGGCUUCCGGAGCUAACGCGUUAAGUAGACCGCCUGGGGAGUACGGCCGCAAGGUUAAAACUCAAAUGAAUUGACGGGGGCCCGCACAAGCGGUGGAGCAUGUGGUUUAAUUCGAUGCAACGCGAAGAACCUUACCUGGUCUUGACAUCCACAGAACUUUCCAGAGAUGGACUGGUGCCUUCGGGAACUGUGAGACAGGUG
rnacentral:rRNA from 1 species